rnacentral:rRNA from 1 species
AGUCGAGGGGCAGCAGGACUGUAGCAAUACAGUUGCUGGCGACCGGCAAACGGGUGCGGAACACGUACGCAACCUUCCUUCAAAUGGGGGAUAGCCCACCGAAAGGUGGAUUAAUACCCCGUAACAUUUUCUGGUGGCAUCACUGGAUUAUUAUAGCUCCGGCGUUUGAAGAUGGGCGUGCGCCUGAUUAGGUAGUUGGCGGAGUAACAGCCCACCAAGCCUACGAUCAGUAACUGGUGUGAGAGCACGACCAGUCACACGGGCACUGAGACACGGGCCCGACUCCUACGGGAGGCAGCAGUAAGGAAUAUUGGUCAAUGGACGCAAGUCUGAACCAGCCAUGCCGCGUGGAGGAUGAAGGUCCUCUGGAUUGUAAACUUCUUUUAUCGGAGAAGAAACCCUCAAAUUCUUUUGGGGUUGACGGUACCCGAUGAAUAAGCACCGGCUAACUCCGUGCCAGCAGCCGCGGUAAUACGGAGGGUGCAAGCGUUAUCCGGAUUCACUGGGUUUAAAGGGAGCGUAGGUGGGGUGGUAAGUCAGUGGUGAAAUCUCCGGGCUUAACUCGGAAACUGCCGUUGAUACUAUCAUUCUUGAAUAUUGUGGAGGUAAGCGGAAUAUGUCAUGUAGCGGUGAAAUGCUUAGAUAUGACAUAGAACACCGAUUGCGAAGGCAGCUUGCUACACAAUUAUUGACACUGAGGCUCGAAAGCGUGGGGAUCAAACAGGAUUAGAUACCCUGGUAGUCCACGCCCUAAACGAUGGAUACUCGACAUACGCGAUACACAGUGUGUGUCUGAGCGAAAGCAUUAAGUAUCCCACCUGGGAAGUACGACCGCAAGGUUGAAACUCAAAGG